GAGGAAGGUGGGGAUGACGUCAAGUCCUCAUGGCCUUUAUGUCCAGGGCUACACACGUGCUACAAUGGCCGGUACAAACCGCUGCAAACCCGCGAGGGUGAGCCAAUCGGAGAAAGCCGGCCUCAGUUCGGAUUGUAGUCUGCAACUCGACUACAUGAAGCUGGAAUCGCUAGUAAUCGCGGAUCAGCAUGCCGCGGUGAAUACGUUCCCGGGCCUUGUACACACCGCCCGUCACACCAUGGGAGUUGGUUCGACCUUAAGCCGGUGUGCGAACCCAGCAAUGGGACGCAGCCGACCACGGUCGGGUUAGCGACUGGGGUGAAGUCGUAACAAGGUAGCCGUAA
rnacentral:rRNA from 1 species